rnacentral:rRNA from 1 species
GAGUUUGAUCCUGGCUCAGAACGAACGCUGGCGGCAUGCCUAACACAUGCAAGUCGAACGAGAUCCUUCGGGGUCUAGUGGCGCACGGGUGCGUAACGCGUGGGAAUCUGCCCCUUGCUUCGGAAUAACAGUUAGAAAUGACUGCUAAUACCGGAUGAUGACUUCGGUCCAAAGAUUUAUCGGCAAGGGAUGAGCCCGCGUAGGAUUAGGUAGUUGGUGGGGUAAAGGCCUACCAAGCCGACGAUCCUUAGCUGGUCUGAGAGGAUGAUCAGCCACUGGGACUGAGACACGGCCCAGACUCCUACGGGAGGCAGCAGUGGGGAAUAUUGGACAAUGGGCGAAAGCCUGAUCCAGCAAUGCCGCGUGAGUGAUGAAGGCCUUAGGGUUGUAAAGCUCUUUUACCCGGGAUGAUAAUGACAGUACCGGGAGAAUAAGCUCCGGCUAACUCCGUGCCAGCAGCCGCGGUAAUACG